UUCUGCUCCGUCUUUCUUCCGUUCUUCUCCGAUUCUUUCUCCCUUUCUCUUUUCUUUGUCUUUCACUUCUUCUCUUUCUUCUUUAAUUGAACAUUAAAUAACAGUGCAAGACAAAACAAAGGUCACACGUUGGGCUUUUUCUUACAAGUUAAAGGGUGGAACGGUUGAAUAUUUACAUGGACUACAGAUUCAAGGGAUUUUUUUUAUGGAGAGCAGUGAAGGAGGGGAUGAUAAUGUUCUGGACGGUUUAGCAAGUCAAAAAAGGAAGUUUUCUGAAGCAAGACUUAUCACUUGAGAUAUGAUAAGUGAAUGGGUGAGAAAGUUGAAGUUUUGAUGUUAAAAAUCACAUUGGAAAUGGUGAUACAUUUGACCAUAAACCUUUUACGAAUGAGAAAUUUUUUUGCUUUCACUGGACUAGAAUGCACCUACUUUUACACUUUUUUUCUUCAUUCCCCCAAUUUUUUUGUCUCCUAUGUUUCAGAAUUUUUUGUCUAAAUGUUUUCUUUUAACCCGAAAAAGUAGAAAUAGGCUUUUGUGUGUGCCUAUAGGGGUUUAAAAAGUAAAGGCACUUUUAGAGUUAAAUAAAAAUGAAUGGUGCUUGUUAAAUUGGUUGCUUCGGAAUAUGACGAAAUUGGGAGGGGCAUUGCAAGAGUUAAUUCAGUUUGAGGGCGUUCUCCAGUUAUGAUUCUGGGUACUCGUGUAUUUGCCAUACUACCUAUCUUUACUGCCUUGAAAUUUAGCGGGGUUCUAUCUAUCUCUAUUGAUUGCAGUUAUUAUUUCUUAGCAGCUGAAAUGUCUUAAAUUUAGCGGAUAGAGCAGCUGAUGUUCUAUGUUCAAAUUUCCCAACUCUUGUUUAGUUGUUGUUUCGGUUUUUCAAAAUAACUGAAAUCGUCAAUUUUCUUGGUUCUUGUUCAUGUCUCUGCCAUUGCAAGGGGACUUUGACUGCCAUUUCCAGGUUAUCUUUGUGAACUCUUUACCCUUUCUUCCAUAUUUUUCUUGCACGAUGAGGUGGAAUAGUUACAAGCUAUCAGAAUGUAUCACUUCAAGAGGUGGAAACAUUUUCAAUUCUGAUUUUUUUGUACCUGAGCACAAGAAUGUAUAGAAGGAAGAAAGAUGACAACACCUACCUUUCAUUCUUUUCUGUUCUGUAGAGAAUUCAACUCGGACAUAUUAUUGCUUGUACACUUGCUGUUCGGCCUGUAGUUUUGCUUGCUUCCUUUUUCUAGAGAUGUUAGUCUUAUUUUUGUUUUUUCAGCUUUUGGUUAUUUGUCAACCUUAUUGAUGGGUUGCAAUAUUUACUUUUCUUUUCUUUUUUUUUAUCAACUCAAUAGUGGCAAGGAGAGUAAACUAAUUUGUUUUCUUAGGUAAUUUGUAGUUUGCCUUUUAUUGGAACUUUAUUUUGGUUGGCAAUGUCAACCUAGCCAGUUACCAGUGCCACUGGUAAUGAAGCUAUUUUUUAAUUCUUUGUAAUGAUGAUGAUCCUUAAAGGAUAUCAAUAAAUCAA